rnacentral:rRNA from 1 species
AACGCUAGCUACAGGCUUAACACAUGCAAGUCGAGGGGUAGCAGGGUAGCAAUACCGCUGACGACCGGCGCACGGGUGAGUAACACGUAUCCAACCUUCCCAUAACUCUGGGAUAGCCUUUCGAAAGAAAGAUUAAUACCGGAUGGUACUUUUUCAAGGCAUCUUGAGAAAGUUAAAGAUUUAUUGGUUAUGGAUGGGGAUGCGUUCCAUUAGAUAGUUGGUGAGGUAACGGCUCACCAAGUCUUCGAUGGAUAGGGGUUCUGAGAGGAAGGUCCCCCACAUUGGUACUGAGACACGGACCAAACUCCUACGGGAGGCAGCAGUGAGGAAUAUUGGUCAAUGGGCGAGAGCCUGAACCAGCCAAGUAGCGUGAAGGAUGAAGGUCCUAUGGAUUGUAAACUUCUUUUAUAGUAGAAUAAAGUGAUCCACGUGUGGAUUUUUGUAUGUAUACUAUGAAUAAGGAUCGGCUAACUCCGUGCCAGCAGCCGCGGUAAUACGGAGGAUCCGAGCGUUAUCCGGAUUUAUUGGGUUUAAAGGGUGCGUAGGCGGAAUAAUAAGUCAGUUGUGAAAGUUUGCGGCUCAACCGUAAAAUUGCAGUUGAUACUGUUAUUCUUGAGUGUACAUAAGGUAGGCGGAAUUCGUGGUGUAGCGGUGAAAUGCUUAGAUAUCACGAAGAACUCCGAUUG